UACGUAGGGUGCGAGCGUUAAUCGGAAUUACUGGGCGUAAAGCGUGCGCAGGCGGUUUUGUAAGCCAUAUGUGAAAUCCCCGGGCUCAACCUGGGAACUGCAUUUGGGACUGCAAGGCUAGAGUACGGCAGAGGGGGGUAGAAUUCCUGGUGUAGCAGUGAAAUGCGUAGAUAUCAGGAGGAAUACCGAUGACGAAGGCAGCCCCCUGGGUCGAUACUGACGCUCAUGCACGAAAGCGUGGGGAGCAAACAGG
rnacentral:rRNA from 1 species